AGAGUUUGAUCCUGGCUCAGAUUGAACGCUGGCGGAAUGCUUUACACAUGCAAGUCGAGCGGCAGCGCGGGGGCAACCCUGGCGGCGAGCGGCGAACGGGUGAGUAAUGUAUCGGAACGUACCCAGUCGUGGGGGAUAACUAUCCGAAAGGAUAGCUAAUACCGCAUACGUCCUGAGGGAGAAAGCGGGGGACCGAAAGGCCUCGCGCGAUUGGAGCGGCCGAUAUCGGAUUAGCUAGUUGGUGAGGUAAAGGCUCACCAAGGCGACGAUCCGUAGCUGGUCUGAGAGGACGACCAGCCACACUGGAACUGAGACACGGUCCAGACUCCUACGGGAGGCAGCAGUGGGGAAUUUUGGACAAUGGGGGCAACCCUGAUCCAGCCAUUCCGCGUGAGUGAAGAAGGCCUUCGGG
rnacentral:rRNA from 1 species